rnacentral:pre_miRNA from 14 species
UGUGUGUGUGUGUGUGUGUGUGUGUGUGUGUGUGUUGAAGCUCACCGUUUUUUCCAAAAAGGUGGAUGAGGGGGGAGGGGCAGGGGAGGGUCAUCACCUCGCCGACCGCCGUGCUCUGCCAACAGGCGACGUUGUUCCACUCGCCGCUGCAUCCUGAACACACACACACACACACACACACACACACACACA